CAGUAGCCGCGGUAACACGGAGGGUGCAAGCGUUAAUCGGAAUUACUGGGCGUAAAGCGCACGCAGGCGGUCUGUCAAGUCAGAUGUGAAAUCCCCGGGCUUAACCUGGGAACUGCAUUUGAAACUGGCAGGCUAGAGUCUUGUAGAGGGGGGUAGAAUUCCAGGUGUAGCGGUGAAAUGCGUAGAGAUCUGGAGGAAUACCGGUGGCGAAGGCGGCCCCCUGGACAAAGACUGACGCUCAGGUGCGAAAGCGUGGGGAGCAAACAGGAUUAGAGACCCCUGUAGUCCCUGUCUCUUAUAA
rnacentral:rRNA from 1 species